AGGGUUUGAUUCUGGCUCAGGACGAACGCUGGCGGUGCGCCUUAUGCAUGCAAGUCGAGCGAAGCUUUUCAGUAGUUUACUACAGAAAAUGACUGAGCGGCGAACGGGUGAGUAACGCGUGAGCAAUCUACCUUAGUUACAGGGAUAGCCCGAGGAAACUCGGAUUAAUACCUGAUAUUCUUUAUUUCUCGCAUGAGAAUAAAAGGAAAGGUCAGCCGAACUAAGAUGAGCUCGCGUUCUAUCAGCUUGUUGGUGAGGUAAAAGCUUACCAAGGCUACGACGGAUAGCUGGUCUGAGAGGACGAUCAGCCACACUGGGACUGAGACACGGCCCAGACUCCUACGGGAGGCUGCAGCAGGGAAUAUUGUGCAAUGAACGAAAGUUUGACACAGCGACACCGCGUGUGGGAUGACGGAUCUAGGUUUGUAAACCACUUUCAGGAGGGAAGAAAAUGACGGUACCUCCACAAGAAGCCCCGGCCAACUACGUGCCAGCCGCCGCGGUAAUAC
rnacentral:rRNA from 1 species